rnacentral:rRNA from 1 species
UCGAACGCGAAAGGGGAGCAAUCCCUGAGUAGAGUGGCAAACGGGUGAGUAACACGUGGGUGACCUGCCUUCGAGUGGGGGAUAACGUUCCGAAAGGAACGCUAAUACCGCAUGACAUCCUGCCUUUGGAAAGGUGGAGAUCAAAGCCGGGGAUCGCAAGACCUGGCGCUUGAAGAGGGGCCCGCGCCUGAUUAGCUAGUUGGUGGGGUAAUGGCUCACCAAGGCUACGAUCAGUAUCCGGCCUGAGAGGGCGGACGGACACACUGGGACUGAGACACGGCCCAGACUCCUACGGGAGGCAGCAGUGGGGAAUUGUUCGCAAUGGGCGCAAGCCUGACGACGCAACGCCGCGUGGAGGACGAAGAUCUUCGGGUCGUAAACUCCUGUCGAGCGGGAAGAAGGCUCCGCGGUCGAAUACACCGCGGAAUUGACGGUACCGCUAAAGGAAGCCCCGGCUAACUCCGUGCCAGCAGCCGCGGUAAUACGGGGGGGGCAAGCGUUGUUCGGAAUUACUGGGCGUAAAGGGCUCGUAGGCGGCCAACUAAGUCGGAUGUGAAAUCCCCAGGCUUAACCUGGGAACUGCAUCCGAUACUGGAUGGCUUGAAUCCGGGAGAGGGAUGCAGAAUUCCAGGUGUAGCGGUGAAAUGCGUAGAUAUCUGGAGGAAUACCGGUGGCGA